rnacentral:rRNA from 1 species
UACGUAGGGGGCAAGCGUUGUCCGGAUUUAUUGGGCGUAAAGCGCUCGCAGGUGGUUCGAUGCGUCGUGCGUGAAAGACCCCGGCUCAACUGGGGAGUGUCGUGCGAUACGGUCGGACUGGAGGCCAGUAGGGGGAUGCGGAAUUCCGGGUGUAGUGGUGGAAUGCGUAGAGAUCCGGAGGAACACCGGUGGCGAAGGCGGAUCUCUGGGCCUUACCUGACGCUGAGGCGCGAAAGCUAGGGGAGCGAACAGG